UACGUAGGGGGCAAGCGUUGUCCGGAUUUAUUGGGCGUAAAGAGCGUGUAGGCGGCCAGGUAGGUCCGUUGUGAAAACUGGAGGCUUAACCUCCAGUUGUCGAUGGAAACCAUCUGGCUAGAGUCCGGAAGAGGAGAGUGGAAUUCCUGGUGUAGCGGUGAAAUGCGCAGAUAUCAGGAAGAACACCCGUGGCGAAGGCGGCUCUCUGGGACGGUACUGACGCUGAGACGCGAAAGCGUGGGGAGCGAACAGG
rnacentral:rRNA from 1 species